CGUACCGUCCAAACGUUAUUCGGAAUUACUGGGCUUAAAGGGUACGUAGGCGGCGCUGUCAGUCGGGUGUGAAAUCCCACGGCUCAACCGUGGAACUGCGCCCGAUACUGCAGUGCUUGAGGGAGACAGAGGUAAGCGGAACUGAUGGUGGAGCGGUGAAAUGCGUUGAUAUCAUCAGGAACACCAGUGGCGAAAGCGGCUUACUGGGUCUCUUCUGACGCUGAGGUACGAAAGCUAGGGGAGCGAAGGGGAUUAGAUACCCCCGUAGUCCUAGCUGUAAACGUUGAGCACUUGAUCGUGGGGCCCCCCAUAGCCUCUCGGUCGUAGCGAAAGUGUUAAGUGCUCCGCCUGGGGAGUAUGGUCGCAAGGCUG
rnacentral:rRNA from 1 species